AAGGAACCGGAGGGCUACUUUUCUUUUCUUUUGUUUUACACUUUCCUCUGGUGACGAAAGAGGCCCGCGUUCACGUCCAGAAUUUGGGAAAUUCAGAAGAGCCCGCAACCCAAGAAGGGGCGUCCUGGUCGCCGCCAGCUGGAGGCUGGGGCGGGUCUGGUUCAAGAACCGCCGGGCCAAAUGGCGACACCAGAAGCGCGCGUCGGCUUCCGCGAGGCUCCUGCCCGGCGUCAAGAAGUCCCCGAAGGGGAGCUGCUGAUGACUCUAGGAGCUGCCCCUGGGCUCGGCCACCCUUUUUGGGAUCUUUGGAGUUGGCGCUGAGAGAAGACAGGUCUACCCGAAAAGGAGCUGGGAGAGUACACCGGCCGCCUCCACCCGUCUCCACAGCCCUUGCCUCCUGCAGCUCGUGCUGCCGUGGCGCUGGGGACGGGCCCCCGGUGCUUGGUGUUCCACGGCAGUGGGAGUGGCGAGUCCCUUGGGGGUGGGCUGGGGCAUAGAGCAGUUUCCUCAGCUCCCUACCCCCCGAGAGACACUAACUCCACCGCAGGAGGGGAACCACCCCGUAUCAACACGGGACCCAGAAUCCUACGCAGUGGAGCGUCUCUCCGCACCCUGGGACAUGCUGGCCACCCUCUUCUCAAUGUGGACAUUGACCUAACUUGACCUGGCUCGUCCUCCCCCAGCGGGAGAGGGGAUGGGGUUCGUGUCUGUGCAGUCCUGGCGUUGCAGGCUUCCCAGGCCCUGGGCUGGGUCUUGGUAUCUGGACCUGUAGAAUAAGAAGGUCGCAGGAGCGAUUCCAGGAGCCCCUCCACAGUCCCUUCACCUUCGAGCCUCGCGCUGAUACUGAGAAACUAGCAACUUCAAAUACCACAGAAGCCGCCCAGAGUCUCAAGUCCACCUUGGCUCCACUCCCACACCCAACAAGGAGCUGUCCCUUCUUCUUCCUUCCCAGCGAGGGGGUAUUUAGGGUACAGCUGUCUUUGAGAGGAGCACAGCUCAGCGAUCCUCAGUCUCUGCACCAGGGUGCUCCCCAGCAGAGGGGACUGCUCCACGGAUGGUGGCCUUGGACCCCUGGGGUCCAGCCCUGGCCUCUAGGCUACUGUGAACCUGCCCAUGGGUGAGGGUCCCCUGCUUCCUCCUGGGGUUUUCAUGCUGUGGGCUCGGACUCCCUCACAGCAAUCUGUGCCAUCCUAGGGUAGGGCAAGAGGAGGUUGGACUGGGGAGACCCCGCCCCUGCUGCCUGGGAAGAUGCCUGCCCUCCCCUUCUUUAUCCUGGCCCAUGGCAAAAGGCACAGUGGAAAGAAGCCUUAGAUUCCCCAAGUAGGCCCUACAGUGGGUCCAAAGCAUCUCACAUCCCCACCCCCAGCUGGCUUGAGCACCUCGUUCUGUCUCCUUACAGGCCCUGCAGGGAAUGGGGCCAUUCUACCUGCAAGAGAUGAAGUCCAUCUCUAAAAGCAGGACUGCAGAAGCCAGGGCUGCAGCUCCCCAGACACCCCAAGGCUGGCCAGCUUGGAUAACACCAAGCAAGCAUGGUGUCCCCAGUCAGAACUGCCCUGACACUGCUGGGUGUCCCUAGCAUCCCCGCCUCCACCCCUAGCAUGCACACAAAGCCCUUCUCCCUGAACCCUGGUCUUGCCCUUGGGGACUGAACAGACUACCUGUGGACAUGCCCGUGUCCCAGUCAGCUCCCUUGCAGCUGGGGACACUCGCAUCUCACAGGCUCCAGGCCCCUUGAGUUCCUUGGUUGAAUGGCCAUCUGUCAUUGUUUUGGGAGCCCCGAUCAGAGCUUGUGGAGCGCCACCUUCCAGGGCUCAGUGGCUGUGUUGCUCUCCUGAAUUUGCUUCUUGAGCUCUAGCUGCUCCUUGGCAGGCUGACCCCCCACAGCAGGCUAUUAACAUAGGCAUCCUUCACGCUCACACCCAGGCGCUCGCUUCUCAUCUUCACCCUCUUCCCGGUUUAUCUUUUACCCUCAGACUCCAAUUCCCAUCUUUCUGCCACAUUUACAUCUCAAGCCAGGCACUUCCCCUGAGCCAGGUAUUUAUCUCCAGCUGUCCCCUUGAAGCCCACAGACUCCUUAAGGUCACCUUGUCCACAGUGAGCUCUUCUGUGCAAACCAGGCACAUGAGCCAGAGAGCUAGCCGCCCACCCGAAACUGGUCCCUGGACCCCUCCCUCUCCUGAUCAUCCACUAUACCCAGGCUGACAGGAAGUCAGUUUUACUGUUUAUCAAUAAAUCAAUAAAUCCCAGAAUCUCUCCAGCUCUAACUGCACCAGUCUGAUGUAAGCCACCGUCACCUCUCACCUUGAC
rnacentral:lncRNA from 1 species